GCACCCAUGGCCUAAUGGAUGAAGCGCUUGACUUCUAAUCAAGCGAUUGUGGGUUCGAGUCCCACUGGGUGUG
rnacentral:tRNA from 1 species